GACGAACGCUGGCGGCGUGCCUAAUACAUGCAAGUAGAACGCUGAAGAGAGGAGCUUGCUCUUCUUGGAUGAGUUGCGAACGGGUGAGUAACGCGUAGGUAACCUGCCUUGUAGCGGGGGAUAACUAUUGGAAACGAUAGCUAAUACCGCAUAACAAUGGAUGACACAUGUCAUUUAUUUGAAAGGGGCAAUUGCUCCACUACAAGAUGGACCUGUGUUGUAUUAGCUAGUAGGUGAGGUAAUGGCUCACCUAGGCGACGAUACAUAGCCGACCUGAGAGGGUGAUCGGCCACACUGGGACUGAGACACGGCCCAGACUCCUACGGGAGGCAGCAGUAGGGAAUCUUCGGCAAUGGGGGCAACCCUGACCGAGCAACGCCGCGUGAGUGAAGAAGGUUUUCGGAUCGUAAAGCUCUGUUGUAAGUCAAGAACGGGUGUGAGAGUGGAAAGUUCACACUGUGACGGUAGCUUACCAGAAAGGGACGGCUAACUACGUG
rnacentral:rRNA from 1 species